GAGACUGAAGGUUUGAAGAUGCUGUCAAAGGGGAUUUGGUGAUUGCAGCAGUGUGUCUUAUAGAUGUUGCCAUGUCUUUGGAGGUGAAGAGCAUUUGUGUGUUUAAAGCGGUGGAUGGAGGUCUCAGCAUUGCCCAUGGACGGUUACAGUGGACGAAUUGGAAGAACACAAAAGAUAGGAAAUAUGAAGUGACCAGAGUUAUGGGAUGUCAGAGACGUUGGACAAGUAGACCGCACAACCUACACGUCUGAGAAAAAGGAAGAAUUACUUCAUUCAUAAGCCAUCGCUGUUUUUUGACUGUUAACGCAUGAGAAGUAUAGUACAGACCACUCUGCCCAUAUCUGGGACAUUUCUUUCUCAUGCCACAGUAUGUGGGAACUUCGAAACUCAAGAGACUGAAGAAUGGAAAUUGAGAAAUCUUCUCCUACUUUGUUAGAAUUCCACCAGUUUAUGUCAGUAAAUACAAUUCGAAUGGUUCUAUUGAAUUGAAUAGAAAGUUUCUGAGACAUCUUGCAAGUGUCAAAAAAUGAUAUAAAUGACAAAAUUUUGAUUCACCGUUAUUAAAUGCUCCAUUUUUUAGAAAGGUUAUGUAGGUUUUGUCUGCAAUUGUCAAAACUUAGUUUGAGGCAAUGAUUUAACAAGGCUGCAAUUUAUCUUUGCACAUAUUUUUUGGAAGAUACGCAAGGCAAGCCUGAGGAGGUCCAACUUGCUGUGUGUGAACACGAUGAGGAAAGACUUUCUUGAGAAUUAGCUCCAAUUGGCAACUAAAGUAUUUGAAGUAGCAGCCUGUAGCUUUGAUCUUGUUGCCAAGCUCAUUGAUCUAUAGAAAUGUCUGCUCUAUAUACACAAUUGUGGUUCGAUUCAAGUGCUAUGGACGAAUGUCUCUACACUGUAUUUGCAUGUAUGUCCAAAGCCAAAUUCUGUUGAGGUUUUUAUCCCCCAUUUUGUCAUUAGAGUUAAGCAUUUUAUGCUUAUUUGUAAUUACACUGGUCCCAACUCAGCCUGAAACAUUGAUUUUUCUGCUCCUCGGAUGCUGUCUGAACUGCUGUGCUUUUCCAGCUCCACAUUUAUUGAUUCUAGCUUCCAGCAUCUGCAGUCCUUACUGUCACCAAGCCUGUGCUGUUAGUGUAAGGGUUUGGAGAUUUCUUGAUUUUUUUGACUGAUUUCUGAUCUCAGCUGACAUUUAUCAAAUAUAAAUGUCAUUAUCUUCGAUUUUUGUUGCAAUUUCAUGACACACAAUCAAAAUUAAAUGUCAGUAGAUGGAUAAAGGAGAUGUCCAGCAUGACAAAAAUCUGCUUACACUAAAUAAAAUUGAAGAAAAUGAAGGGAAUGCAGCAAAGUAUCAGCAUGUUACCCACUAUCUGUAAUUAUAAUCAAGGUGGGGGAUGGAUUUGACUUGGUGUUUUUAUCCUCAACAUCCAGUAUUUUCCAAUAUCCAAAAGAUUAAAAUUGUAAAAGGAAAUGAUGUAAAUUCUAGAUAGUGCAAUUAGGAGAAAUUUUAGGCUUGGAUAUUUUUACUUUUUGAUGUGCAGAUCACGGAAAGCGGGCUAUGCAUGGAUGCAAAUCAUUUGCAGAAACUGCUUUUAAAUUAGUUGAACGUAAAGUGAUGCUUGUUUUUGCUAGCUUGGAAACUUACAAAAGGGAGUAAACAAACCAUUGUCCAAGAUCAAGCAUUGUCUGAGAUUACAAUGUUGGAUUUCAGAUGUUUUUGGAAGAAAGAAACAGCAAAAAAAAUCUGUCACCCUGGGCAAAGAGAAAGUUGUAUCAAAUGAAAUGUUAUGAAUGUUUUGGCUGUCAUAACAAAGGCAGCUAGAAUUUUGGUUGAGUAUGAAAUGAAAAUGAUUCUUGGAUGUUGUACUUACCAGGAAUGAGGCUGAUGUUUUUAACAAUUAUGAGAAUAUAUGAAAAUAACUAAAAGAUUAAUUAACUUGGGGAUUUAAGUUACUUGGAUGUUGACUUGAUCAGAUGUGAAGAAUAAAUCGUAGAAGAAUUCAUGUUUUUAGAGUUCAUAAAGGAAACUCCUACAUGGUUUGUUGACUAACCAAUGUGACUUGAGAUUAUUCUCCAUGAAAGGCCCAGUGUUAUUCAUUGAGUCAAAGUUUGUUUGUAGCUAGGGUUAGUAAUAUUGCCAGAUUUGACCUUCUAGUCAAAAUAUAUGAAAGGGCAAUGCAAUAAACAUUCGAAAAGUUAGAUUUUGAGGGUGAGUUGAAGGAAGUUGAUUAAUGAAAAAUGCUGCGGAAAUGUAAGCAAAAAUCUAUUUGAGAGGCUCCUUUAUAAACUAAUCCUGGUCAAUUAACACUUAUCAAAUGAAUUAUUUUGAAUUGUAGAAAGUUGCUUAAGUAAUAACAAAUGGAAAAACAUGACAUUUUAAAACAGUGAUUUGGGUACUUCAAACAAUAUUGGUGAGCUGAAAUCAACACAGAAGGAAAUAACAAAUUGAUUGAAAUUACUUUAUACCUCUUGUGAAGAGGGAAAGCACAGUUUCGUGCAAUAACAUCCAAAUAAAUUAAGAGUUAGAUUUAUGGCAGGGAAGCUGCUGGGCAGUAUGU